UACGUAGGGUGCAAGCGUUGUCCGGAAUUAUUGGGCGGAAAGAGCUCGUAGGCGGUCUGUCGCGUCGGCUGUGAAAACUCGGGGCUCAACCCCGAGCCUGCAGUCGAUACGGGCAGACUAGAGUGCGGUAGGGGAGACUGGAAUUCCUGGUGUAGCGGUGAAAUGCGCAGAUAUCAGGAGGAACACCGGUGGCGAAGGCGGGUCUCUGGGCCAUCACUGACGCUGAGGAGCGAAAGCGUGGGGAGCGAACAGG
rnacentral:rRNA from 1 species